rnacentral:rRNA from 1 species
AGUGAACGCUGGCGGCGUGACUAAUACAUGCAAGUCGAAAGACGUGGCGCACGGGUGAGUAAUAUAUAGUUAAUCUGCACUACCAAGAGGAACAACAGGUGGAAACGACUGCUAAUACCUCAUAGUGUAGGAUGAGACUCUAUCUUAUCAGCUAGUUGGUAAGGUAAUGGCUUACCAAGGCUAUGACGCGUAACUGGUCUGAGAGGAUGAUCAGUCACAUUGGACCUGAGACACGGUUCAAACUCCUACUGGAGGCAGCAGUAAUGAAUAUUGCGCAAUGGGGGAAACCCUGACGCAGCAACGCCUCGUGGAGGAUGACACUUUUCGGAGCGUAAACUCCUUUUAUCAGGAAAGCGGUACCUGAUGAAUAAGCACCGGCUAACUCCGUGCCAGCAGCCGCGGUAAUUC